rnacentral:rRNA from 1 species
CAACAGGGAUUACCUCAGUAACGGCGAGUGAAGCGGUAACAGCUCAAAUUUGAAAUCUGGGCCUUUUAGGCUCCGAGUUGUAAUUUGUAGAAGAUGCUUCGGGUGUGGCCCCGGUCUAAGUUCCUUGGAACAGGACGUCAUAGAGGGUGAGAAUCCCGUAUGUGACUGGGUGCCUUCGCUCAUGUGAAGCUCUUUCGACGAGUCGAGUGUGUUUGGGAAUGCAGCUCAAAAUGGGUGGUAUAUUUCAUCUAAAGCUAAAUAUUGGCCAGAGACCGAUAGCGCACAAGUAGAGUGAUCGAAAGAUGAAAAGCACUUUGGAAAGAGAGUUAAACAGUACGUGAAAUUGUUGAAAGGGAAGCGCUUGCAAUCAGACUUGCAUGCCGUCAAUCAUCUAGGGUUCUCUCUAGUGCACUUGGCGGCGUUCAGGCCAGCAUCGGUUUCGGGGGUGGGAUAAAGGCCUUGGGAAUGUAGCUUCUUUCGGGGAGUGUUAUAGCCCUCGGUGCAAUGCCGCCUCCUGGGACCGAGGACCGCGCUCCGGCUAGGAUGCUGGCGUAAUGGUUGUAAGCGACCCGUCUUGAAACACG